UCUGGCUGUCAUCUCCGUGUGUGUGCAGCUGUCUUCGCUAAUGAGAAAGCUUUGGGAGUCUUCCUCUUGGGCGUCAUUGGCAUUACCCUGGGUGACGGCCACACUCUUGGUAAUGCUGGCCCCACCAGCAUUACAUCACCUUGGCUUCUUAAAAAUUGAGAUUGCUGGGCCCCGUACAAGAGCCCCCUGAAUCCCAUUCCCUUGUUUUUUUAAAAAAUAAUAUACAUUUUUAAAAAUUAACAUUCAGUAAGGACUCCAACCUUACACCUGGUAGCCAUCACCUGGACCAGGUGGAGAGUGUUUCCACCACCCUGAGGGCUCCCUCCAGGGUACCAUCCUAGGGUGCCAUCUUCCUAGGGCACCUGUGGUUCUGAGGUCAUCCUCACAAGACUUUCCCUGAGCUUGCACUUCAAGCCUGAGCUACAUGGGACUCUUGCGUCUGCUCCUACCUGUCCACGUUAUGCUGGUGCGAGGUGGCCACACACACUGCUGUGUGCUGUGACAGCUCGUUGUUUUGUGUUGUGCCGUGGUAUCCUCUUGUCUGACUGGGCCACAGCUGGCCUGCUCAUUUUGCUGUGAUGGAAUAUGGGUCGUGUCCAGGUUUUGGCUGUUCUACUAAAGCUGCAAAGAACAUUGAUGUAAGUGUCUUUGGGUGCCCAUAAGCACUCGUUUCUUUCUGGAAUGGAAUUACUGUGUCACAGGGUUAAUGUGUGCUUAACUCUGGUAAGAGCUACAGUUCACCCCAGUAGCACUCCUGACCCCAGUUGGUGCUACCUGACACCAGGUGGUGUCAUUCAUGGGAAUGACAGUCACUCUGCAUUUUUGUAGGUGUUGUCAGGCCUUUAGAUUCUAGCCACCCGGCAGGUGCACAGUGGCACCUCCUGCUGGCAUUGCCCCAGUGCCUAAUGAUGUUCAGAAUCUUUCAUGUACUCGUUGGCCCCUUGGGUUCCCUGUCUUGUGAAGGCUGAUCAAGUUUUUUAAAAAUUGGGCUGUCUACUGCUUAUCCUCUUUAUCUGCAGGGACAUUCAUGAAUGGUCUUUUGUCCAUUGAUCAGUCAUUAAUAACCUCUCCAGGUUUCUUACGAACGCCAAAGUCAGGGAAUCAGCUCCGGGGUACUCUUGAAGUUGUCUAAUUCUCCUGAGCCAUCUUUUUUCUUUCCUUCACUUUACAAACAAGCAGUUCACGUGCUGCCUCCUGUCUUCCUGUUGUUGUCUACCUGUAAGGGUGUGGUGUUCUUAACUUUCUUUUGAUUGUAUAUGGCAGAAAUGGGCUUCGAGUAUUGAAUGUGGCUAGGCUUUUGAAAUUAAAGGCUGGCUGGGUGUGGGCAUGAAGUAUUAGUCUGUUUUCUGUUGCAAUAACAAAAUGCCUGAGGCUGGGGACUGUAUAAAGAAAAGAAGCUUAUUUAGCUCACAGUUCUGUAGUCCCGUGAGCAUGGCACUGGCAUCUGCUUGGCUCUGAUGAGGGCCUUUGACAGAUGGCAUCACAUGCAGGUCACCUGGUGAGACAAGAGUCCAGGAAGCAGGGAGGGCCUGGUCUUGCUGUCUUUAUACUGACUUGCUGUCAUGAGAACUCAUUCUGAUAGUUAGUACCUUCUGAGCCUGUGUCCCAGUGACUUCCUCACUUUCCACGAGGCCCCACUUCUCAAAGGUUCCACACCAGCUCCAAACACUGCCACACUGGGGACCAGGCUCCCAGCACGUGAACGUCUGUAGCACAAACAUGUCCAAGCCACAGCAGAAACAAGGGUGUGUUCAAGCCACCCCCCACCGCCCCUUGUCUUUUUUAGCAGCGUGUUGUGUUAUUAGUGCCUUGACCAGGCCAGAGGUUUGCGAGGCAGAAGAGAUGGAAAGGGAAGAAGAGUCCAGAACGUCCCUUGUUAUCUUUUGUUCUCUCACUUCUUUCACUAGGAAUCGCAAAGCCCUACAACCAUCUUCCCCAACACCUGCCUUUGUCUUCUGCAGGAGCCCCAGGGGUUCAGCGGGUUUCAGAGUCUGUGUUGGGGUGUGGGUGGAGGUCACCUGCCCUGGGUCACUGGGAAGGGGUGGUUUUACAUCCCUCCGCCUCAGGACCAACCGGGUGAUGCUCUGUCUCCUUGGUCCAAGUGCUUCCUGCCUCCUCUGUCUCCCACCCCCAUGAGUCAGAAGAGGGGAGAGGCCAGUUUUGUCG
rnacentral:lncRNA from 1 species